rnacentral:rRNA from 1 species
GUCUGUAUGAAGUUAUAUGGAGUCUAGCCUGCCCAUUGAAAUAUUUAAAAGGCCGCAGUAUUUUAACUGUGCAAAGGUAGCAUAAUCAUUAGUUUUUUAAUUGAAGGCUUGUAUGAAUGGUUGGACAAAGGGUAGACUGUUUUUAUUUUUAUUUUUGAAUUUGACUUUUAAGUGAAAAGGCUUAAAUAUUUUUAAGGGACGAUAAGACCCUAUAAAUCUUUAUAUUAAUUUAUUUGUUUAUUGAUUAAUAAGUAGAUGAUAUAAUAAGAUAAUAUAUAUUAUGUUGGGGUGAUGAGAAUAUAAUAAUUAACUGUUCUAAGUUGUAAACAAAAUUAUUUGAAAUUUUAUAGAUCCUUUAUUGAGAUUAAAAGUUUAAGUUACUUUAGGGAUAACAGCGUUAUUUUUUUUGAGAGUUCAUAUCGAAAAAAAAGUUUGCGACCUCGAUGUUGAAUUAAAAUUUCUUUACGGUGUAGUCGCUGUAAUAGAGAGUCUGUUCGACUUUUAAAUUUUU